GACGAACGCUGGCGGCGUGCCUAAUACAUGCCAGUAGAACGCUGAAGCGAGGAGCUUGCUCUUCUUGGAUGAGUUGCGAACGGGUGAGUAACGCGUAGGUAACCUGCCUUGUAGCGGGGGAUAACUAUUGGAAACGAUAGCUAAUACCGCAUAACAAUGGAUGACACAUGUCAUUUAUUUGAAAGGGGCAAUUGCUCCACUACAAGAUGGACCUGCGUUGUAUUAGCUAGUAGGUGAGGUAAUGGCUCACCUAGGCGACGAUACAUAGCCGACCUGAGAGGGUGAUCGGCCACACUGGGACUGAGACACGGCCCAGACUCCUACGGGAGGCAGCAGGAGGGAAUCUUCGGCAAUGGGGGCAACCCUGACCGAGCAACGCCGCGUGAGUGAAGAAGGGUUUCGGAUCGUAAAGCUCGGUUGUAAGUCAAGAACGGGUGUGAGAGUGGAAAGUUCACACUGUGACGGUAGCUUACCAGAAAGGGACGGCUAACUACGUG
rnacentral:rRNA from 1 species